AACGAACGUUGGCGGCGUGGAUGAGGCAUGCAAGUCGAACGCGAAAGCCGGCAAGGCAAGUAGCGUGGCGGACGGGUGCGUAACGCGUAGUCAAGUUACCUUCGAGACGGGGAUAACCGCGGGAAACCGCGGCUAAUACCGGAUGGUCCAGCGUGGUUGCAUGAUCGUGCUGGUAAAAUGGGGGGAGGUCUUUCGGUACCGCCUUU
rnacentral:rRNA from 1 species